rnacentral:rRNA from 1 species
AUUGAACGCUGGCGGCAUGCUUUACACAUGCAAGUCGAACGGCAGCGGGGGCUUCGGCCUGCCGGCGAGUGGCGAACGGGUGAGUAACGCAUCGGAACGUGCCCAUGUCGUGGGGGAUAACGUAGCGAAAGCUACGCUAAUACCGCAUACGUCCUGAGGGAGAAAGCGGGGGGAUUCUUCGGAACCUCGCGCGAUUGGAGCGGCCGAUGUCGGAUUAGCUAGUAGGUGAGGUAAAGGCUCACCUAGGCGACGAUCCGUAGCGGGUCUGAGAGGAUGAUCCGCCACACUGGGACUGAGACACGGCCCAGACUCCUACGGGAGGCAGCAGUGGGGAAUUUUGGACAAUGGGCGCAAGCCUGAUCCAGCCAUGCCGCGUGAGUGAAGAAGGCCUGG